rnacentral:rRNA from 1 species
GAUUAACGCUAGCGGCAGGCAUAAUACAUGCAAGUUGAACGGCAGCACAGGUAGCAAUACUGGGUGGCGAGUGGCGCACGGGUGCGUAACACGUAUGCAACCUACCCUAUACAGGCGAAUAACCUUUAGAAAUGAGGGCUAAUACGCCGUAGUAUUACAGAUGGGCAUCUAUUUGUAAUUAAAGAUUUAUCGGUAUAGGAUGGGCAUGCGUCCCAUUAGUUAGUUGGUAAGGUAACGGCUUACCAAGACGAUGAUGGGUAGGGGAUCUGAGAGGACUUACCCCCACACUGGUACUGAGACACGGACCAGACUCCUACGGGAGGCAGCAGUAAGGAAUAUUGGGCAAUGGCCGCGAGGCUGACCCAGCCAUGCCGCGUGCAGGAAGACGGCCUUAUGGGUUGUAAACUGCUUUUAUACGGGAAUAAUAGAGUGUACGCGUACAUUUAUGCAAGUAUCAUAUGAAUAAGCAUCGGCUAACUCCGUG